CCCGCGGCUACGAGGCGCCCAGCGCCGCUCCCUUCGGAACGCGUCAGCCGCCACUCGGUGUUCCCACAGCGCUCGGGAGCGGACGCGGCCACGUUUACAGCCGUGCGGACGGCAGCUCGGGGAGCGGCACGUCGGGACACGCGCGGUUUGGCCGAACGCCGCACGGAACGGAGCCGCGCGCCAGGAGCUGCCGGCGGCAUCGCUCCCGCUCUAGGGGAGCUCCGCCGCGCGGGGCAGCGCCGAGGCACGGCCGCACGCCCCGCCCCCGUCCCCUUCCCUAUCUUUAGCCCCAGCCCCACCCCGCCCCCAUCCCCGGCGGCCGUUGGGCGCGCGCCACCGUCACCUCGGCGCACCCCGCCGCCUCGCCUCGCCCCGCCCCCGCCCCGCCCCCAUUGGCUGCCCCGGGCGGGGCGCGGCCGGGGCGGGGGCACGCGAACAAAGCGUGAUCGGCGGCUGCUGGGAGCGCCGCGCUCCGACCUUUCCCCCAGUUCGCCGCGCGCCCGCCCCCGCCCUCAGACGGCGCAGGAAGGGAGCGGGGCAGCACCGCACCGCACCGCGGAGACGCGGCCGCGGCCACCGCGUCCGGCGGCGCACAGGCUGUUCGCAGUACCGCCGCCCAGUGCCCACAGCUCAGCCCGUCCCGCUGCCCGGGGGGCGCUUCUCGCUUCCCGCCCGCAGAUGCCGGCGGCGCCCCCCGCCUCGUACCCUUCUCUCCCCUCAUGCCGCCGCUACCCGUCCGUCCGGCCCCGGGCUCUGCCGGUUCUCCCGUCGCGCCGUGCCCCUCCUCCUGCGCGCCCUCCCCGAGGUGCCCCCGGCGCAGCGCCCCUCCCGCAGCCCCCGCUCACCGCGCGCCGUGCCGGGACCCCGCGCCGCCGCCGCCGGCCGUGCCCGCGCCGAUUUUCCUCUUUUUGUCCGCCGCUCCCCAUUCAGGUGGCGGCGGCUGCAGCGCCCCGCGCGGGUGGGCGGGGCGUGGCCCGCCCGGCAGCCAAUCGGCGGCAAAGGUGUGUGAGGCGGCCGCCAAUGGGCGCGGGGCGCCCCGCGCGUGAUCGGCGGCUGCCCCGCGGCGUGGCCCGGGUGUCGGCGCGGCGUGGCUCGGGAGUCGGCGCGGCGUGCGCGCUCCCGCCGUCAUCCCGGCGGCUGAGUCAGUGCAUCCGGGCGGGGGCGGCCGCCGCCUCGCCGUGA
rnacentral:lncRNA from 1 species